CCCAGCGGUAGCACGUUGGAUUCACGAGUUUCCAAUAGGUCACUCAGGUUAAGCAACAUUGCGCCAUGCGCGUGGUUGGUAUAUGGGUGACCAUCUGGGUAAUCUCAUGCUGCUGGCU
rnacentral:rRNA from 1 species